CAGUAGCCGCGGUAAGACAGAGGAUGCAAGCGUUAUCCGGAAUGAUUGGGCGUAAAGCGUCUGUAGGUGGCUUUUCAAGUCCGCCGUCAAAUCCCAGGGCUCAACCCUGGACAGGCGGUGGAAACUACCAAGCUGGAGUACGGUAGGGGCAGAGGGAAUUUCCGGUGGAGCGGUGAAAUGCGUAGAGAUCGGAAGGAACAUCUGUGGCGAAGGCGACUAUCUGGGCCAACACUGACACUGAGGCACGAAAGCGUGGGGAGCAAACAGGAUUAGAUACCCCGGUAGUCCCUGUCUCUUAUAC
rnacentral:rRNA from 1 species